CAAAACAACAGAACCGCAAUGCAACCAAAUUCACGGCGCCCAAAACCAGUUGACUGUGAGGCGCAAAGUGAGAACAAUGCUGGGAAUUAAAACUUAGACACAUUCUACGGCUUCCGCGUGCAACUCAGCCAUUCUGGAUAAGAGACACCGACAAUGAGGAGGUGAGGAAGAAGAAUUCAACCUCUUUGCGAACCCAUGUCGAUGCGUUGCAACGGUAAUGUGGGGCACUGGAGCAGCCAAAUGCAGCACAGCGUCCAUGGCUGCAGAAAUGGACACCAAGCCGUGCAAAAUCCGAACAGAAACUCUGGGGUUUGGAAUUUCGCUGGAGGUGUAAUCUCACGGCUAACUAAGACGAAGGAGGCUUUCUCGUGGCGCGCUUUACAAUUGGGCUCAGCUGAGCUUCUCCUGUCCAGUGUGGAUGAAAACUACGACAAUGGCGAAGCACCCGAUGCCGAGGUGACGGAUGGCGUUCUCCGUCGAGGUGGAUGGGCUGAAAUGUGGAUAGGAUGUGAAAUUAACACGGACAAAGGCUGAAGAAGAUGAGUUUCUGCGAAGGGUUUUUGCUGUUUAGGGAUACUUGAGCAUCAAUGGAGUGUAGCCUAUGCGUUGGGAGAUUGUGAGAUACUGCAGCAGUGAAUCAUGAGGCUUUGUCUCUUCCGUAUGUUGCUCUUUUUAAUUAGAGGAUCGUUUGUGACAAUCUUUACAUAGACAAACAUAAGCACAGUUGCUGCUUCAUUGUUUCCUGAACUUUUGACAUUCAUAGAUUGUCAAUGUGCGAUGUCUCCUCAGUAGUAACUGUCUUGUCGCGGCUUUUCAACCGUCCCCCAUGAAUUUUUCCACGGGCACUUUGAACGUUUCUAAGUGUAAGUAAAAUUUUGCAGCCUGAAAUCCAUGGCAGUUUUUCACGGGGCCUCGAUGACGCCACAAAAGCUAUUUCGCAAUCUAUGAACAUAGACGCAUCCAUCAUGUAGUGCCAUAGUUCUCACAAAGCCAAUGACCUGUCCUGAAGAAACCUCCUACAGUUGAAGCGGUUUCCCAGAUUUAUCGACCAGGUCAUACAGCAUUCCAUUUCAAUUCAUUCAUUGCUGUAUAUUGUACAGAGCUUGUCGUCUGUAGCCAAUGGGUGGUUCAAAAUGAUAUUUGGAAGUCAAAACCUGUGAGCGCAUUCCUGUUGUAAGUAGGGCGAUGUAUUAUAUAGCUCCAUUCUCACUGCUUUGGAUGUCGUCAAGAUCGCCAGGCAUUGAUUCCGAAGUUUUCUUCUUCUUUCUUGCUUCUCUUCAAGAAAUUUAUUCAACGAUGGCCGAAUCGUAGAGGUUGGAAUAGUCCUCAGACAGAAAAGAGUGAUGCAGAAAGGUCGAAAGCUUUGUCUAGAGAUUGUAAGCCAUUAUCUACCCAUAAGCCGUUCCUUUGAUGAAUUGCCAGGAGACACUAAGAUCACAGUUGGAUGCAGCAUCAGUGAAGUGAAUGAACCCAUGUAUUGUGACUAUCACUGCAUCAAUGAUGCGUAACCUCAUUCCUUCAACCGCAGUUGCCAGAAUCUAUGUGCCACGCGUGUCCUUGCUAAUCCACUGUCUUCAAGUGCACGCGAAUUGUCAACAUUGAAUUCAAUCCUUUAUCUACAAAACCAGAAACCAACUAGUGAAAAUGCAAGGUGGAGUUACCUAUUUACCUACCCGUAUCAACUGGGCGUGAAACAGUUUGCAGACGGGGACAUCACCAGUAUUAACCAGAGCAAGAGCCAGUUGUCUGCCUUCAACAGAUGUCCAGUUGUUCACUUCACCAUUUGAGAGGUAUCAUUUCCCGAACCAUUCAACAAUCCAGCAAUCUCGAAGGGUUUUUGCCAUUUAAUUCUGCCUUCAGGCCCGACUUCACGAGUUGGUGACAUCAGAAGGAAAGGCUGUAGAUACUUUUGUGAAGAACAAAGAGUUUGACAUGACUGUUCUCACAAACAGACAGAUAGACUGCAAUCUUUUGUCACUUUGCCUAUGUUAGAAAUGUCGCAAACUGAAUGUCUCUGUCUGAGUCUUGCCAUUGUGCAACGUUCUUCAGCUUGAAGAUAUUAGCACACGGAUUUCUGCAUCACAGAUGUGUAACGAUUAGCGAGAACCCCAUGAGAAACACAUUCACAAGUAAAGAGUAUGUUCUAAUGAAUUUUUCCUUAA